CACGUAGGCACCAAGCGUUAUCCGGAUUUAUUGGGCGUAAAGAGCUCGUAGGCGGUUCGGUAAGUCGGGUGUGAAAACUCUGGGCUCAACCCAGAGAGGCCACCCGAUACUGCUGUGACUAGAGUGCGGUAGGGGAGCGGGGAAUUCCUGGUGUAGCGGUGAAAUGCGCAGAUAUCAGGAGGAACACCAGCGGCGAAGGCGACGCUCUGGGCCGUAACUGACGCUGAGGAGCGAAAGCAUGGGUAGCAAACAGG
rnacentral:rRNA from 1 species